UGGGGUUUUUUUGGACAUUUUCACCGUUAUCUUUAACAGCAGAAUAGACAACAAGGUACAAUUGUUAAAAAAGUUUAAAGUUUAGGAUAUUUUUGUUAAAAAAAAAAGUUUGGGAUAGAAUUAUUAAAAAUUUCAAAGUUCAGGAGUUUUUUAGACAUUAUCCCUUUUAUAUUUUAACAAAAGAAGAGUACUGCAGGUUUACCUUCUGAAGUAGCUUCUUUUGAUA
rnacentral:misc_RNA from 1 species